UAUCUUUAUUCAAGAUUCAAAAUGCCACUUUAUAUGUUUUGAAUGUGUUUACUAAUACUCUUGAAAGAUUACCCAAUUUUCCUGAUGGUUUAGUAUUUGCUAGUAUGAAUUAUGUGAAACUUUUUGAGGAAUAUUCGAUAUAUUGUGCACAAUAUGUGCUGGGCGUAAUGCAAUAUUGUCAGUAUCAUUCAGAGGAUGGUGAAUGGGGUCAGAUAGUAGUAGGAAUUCGGGCUGGAGAGGAUGACAACCUCAUCACGGACGAUCCUAGAAACCUAGUUUUAAUUACCAAACCCUUCACUUAUCUAGUGUCUUUCCCGUAUGUGGCUGCGUUUCCUGUCUUCAAAGAGCAUGAUACUUGUAUCUUGUUGAAUUAUGGGCUUCAUAUUAUUCAACCGCCUUUUGUUCCGGGUUGGCACACUACUGGGCUGGAAGUCGGGUAUCUAGCUUUUAUUUGUAAAAACGAUAACCUCCCCAACCACCCGAAUUUAAGUGUCAAGUUGUGCUAUUCCAUAUUAGUGAAGAUUGGUCGGAGUAUGAUUUGGAGUCAACUUGUCCCGUGCAACACUUACCUGACCAAGAGUUCAAUCUCGUUCAAGGACAUGGAUUAGAGAUCAUAGAGGGGAAGGUCAACCUGACGCUUUCAAUAUUCGAGGAGGGUAUUGGUUUCGGCUAUUUGUUAUUUUCGUAUGACCUCCACACCAGGAACUGGGAAGAUUUCAGAAUUCCCCUUGCUGGCCAGUUCAGUGUUGUUAAACCCAUGUUUACACCAUCCCUGACGAUCAAGCCCGUGCCCCUUCUUCCUUGAGAAUAAAGAAUCUUAUGAAGUGGAUGGACCGAUGGAGUGAAAUGGCACAAGUUUCAAAGUUGAAAGUGAGGGGCUUAAGAGGGUGCGUCUGAAGACUUAUUUGGCUAUAUAUACGCACUCUUUGUUCUCCUAGGUUUCCUGAACAUUCUCUUUGAUUUUCCUGUUGUUGUCUCAUCAAUAUCAUGCCUUAUGGCAUCCUCCUUUUGUUUUCAUAUUUUGAGAGUUUGUUCCAGAUUAUAUUCGUAGUAGUCUUAUGGUUAGUUUCUUAUUAAAACCUUUUUAUGUAUUGAAAUCUUUUAUCUACCUAGAUCUACCUCUAUAUAUAUGUCUAAGUAACUGGGUGUUA